rnacentral:rRNA from 1 species
CAGCCGGGUAACCGGUGGGUGGCGAGUGGCGGACGGGUGAGUAACACGUAGGAAUCUGCCCAAUCGUGGGGGAUAACCCGGGGAAACUCGGGCUAAUACCGCAUACGCUCCAUGGAGGAAAGCGGGGGACCUUCGGGCCUCGCGCGAUUGGAUGAGCCUGCGUCCGAUUAGCUGGUUGGUAGGGUAAUGGCCUACCAAGGYGACGAUCGGUAGCUGGUCUGAGAGGACGAUCAGCCACACUGGAACUGAGACACGGUCCAGACUCCUACGGGAGGCAGCAGUGGGGAAUAUUGGACAAUGGGCGCAAGCCUGAUCCAGCAAUGCCGCGUGUGUGAAGAAGGCCUGCGGGUUGUAAAGCACUUUAAGCAGGGAAGAAGGGGCGAAGGCGAAUAGCCUUUUGUCAUUGACGUUACCUGCAGAAUAAGCACCGGCUAACUCCGUGCCAGCAGCCGCGGUAAUACGGAGGGUGCGAGCGUUAAUCGGAAUUACUGGGCGUAAAGCGCGCGUAGGCGGUAGGCUAAGUCCCUUGUGAAAGCCCUGGGCUCAACCUGGGAACGGCAGGGGAAACUGGUCGGCUAGAGUGUGGUAGAGGGUGGCGGAAUUUCCGGUGUAGCAGUGAAAUGCGUAGAGAUCGGAAGGAACACCAGUGGCGAAGGCGGCC